rnacentral:tRNA from 2 species
UCCGGGGUAGCUCAACGGCAGAGCGGCUGGCUGUUAACCAGCGGGCUGCAGGUUCGAGUCCUGCCCCCGGAGCCA